rnacentral:rRNA from 1 species
GACGAACGCUGGCGGCGUGCUUAACACAUGCAAGUCGAACGGUGAAAGCGGAGCUUGCUCCGCUGGAUCAGUGGCGAACGGGUGAGUAACACGUGGGCAACCUGCCCCUCACUUCGGGAUAACUCCGGGAAACCGGGGCUAAUACCGGAUAUGACCUCCUUGGGCAUCCUUGGAGGUGGAAAGUUUUUCGGUGAGGGAUGGGCCCGCGGCCUAUCAGCUUGUUGGUGAGGUAGUGGCUCACCAAGGCGACGACGGGUAGCCGGCCUGAGAGGGCGACCGGCCACACUGGGACUGAGACACGGCCCAGACUCCUACGGGAGGCAGCAGUGGGGAAUAUUGCGCAAUGGGCGAAAGCCUGACGCAGCAACGCCGCGUGCGGGAUGACUGCCUUCGGGUUGUAAACCGCUUUCAGCAGGGAAGAAGCCGCAAGGUGACGGUACCUGCAGAAGAAGCACCGGCUAACUACGUGCCAGCCGCCGCAGUAA